GGAUGUGAGGGUGAUCUGGCUGCGACAUCUAUCACCCCAUUGAUCGACAGGGUUGAUUCGGCUGAUCUGGCUGGCUCGGCGGAUGUCCCCUUCUCCCUCACCGCUCCAUGUGCGUCCCUCCCGAAGCUGCGCACUGGGUCGAAGAGGACGGCCUUCCCCAAACAGAGACGGACCUGGUCUUCAGUCGAGGGUAUAUGAGUAGCUGCCUCCCCUGCUAGACCCUCCAAACAAGCUAUCAAGAAUGUAGAAAUCUAUGGUGUUUCUUUUUGUGUGUGUCAAAGCUCUCUGUGGUCUCUGAAUACAUUCUAA
rnacentral:snRNA from 1 species